rnacentral:rRNA from 1 species
GACGAACGCUGGCGGCGUGCCUAACACAUGCAAGUCGAACGAAAAGGCCCGGCUUUUGUGGGGUGGUCGAGUGGCGAACGGGGGAGUAACACGUGAGUAACCUGUCCCUGACUGAGGGAUAUCUUCAGGAAACUGGGGCUAUUACGGCAUAGGAUCUCUUGCUGCAUGGUGGGGGUUGGAAAGAUUCGGCGGUUGGGGCUGGAAUGGCGGGUUAUGAGCUUGUUGGGGGGGUAGUGGCAGACCAAGGCUAUGAGGGGUAGCCGACCUGGGAGGGGAAACUGGGCCACUAGGCAUGCGCUAGGGCCCAGCCCCGAAUCGUACGCAACGGGGGAGAGUAUAACACAGUAGGCGGGAGGGAGAGCUGACAACGCCGCGUGCGGGAUGACGGGCUUGGGGUUGUGAACCACUUUCGCCUGAGCCGAGGCGAGAGUGACGGUAAUGGGUAAAGAAGCACCGGCUAACUACGUG